UUUUUUUUUUUUUUAGAACUUACAGAUAUUGCAUGCUGAACUUCGUUGUUGGCUCUAAGUACCUCACUGUUGGAUCUCCAACCUGACAGAAAAACAUGACAGCUGCUGUAAAGGUUUUCCUCGUAUGCUGUCUGCUUCAAGGUAGCUUUUGCCAACAAUGGGCCAGCUUCCUGCCUCAGUCAGUCCAGGGACUAAGUGGAUCUUGUGUGAGAGUCUCCUGCAGGUUCACCAUUCCCUCAGGAUGGGAUUCAAGCUUGAAUCCUUCGUGUAGAGCCAUUUGGAAGAGAGGCAGGACAGAGAUGUUUGAUACUAGCAAGACUGGAGGAAGAGCAGACCUGACGGGGGACCUGCUUCAGAAGGACUGCACCACCAU